AUAAUGGGUCAGCGACUUAUAUUCUGUAGCAAGGUUAACCGAAUAGGGGAGCCGAAGGGAAACCGAGUCUUAACUGGGCGUUAAGUUGCAGGGUAUAGACCCGAAACCCGGUGAUCUAGCCAUGGGCAGGUUGAAGGUUGGGUAACACUAACUGGAGGACCGAACCGACUAAUGUUGAAAAAUUAGCGGAUGACUUGUGGCUGGGGGUGAAAGGCCAAUCAAACCGGGAGAUAGCUGGUUCUCCCCGAAAGCUAUUUAGGUAGCGCCUCGUGAAUUCAUCUCCGGGGGUAGAGCACUGUUUCGGCAAGGGGGUCAUCCCGACUUACCAA
rnacentral:rRNA from 1 species